AUUGAACGCUGGCGGCAUGCCCUACACAUGCAAGUCGAACGGCAGCACGGGUGCUUGCACCUGGUGGCGAGUGGCGAACGGGUGAGUAAUACAUCGGAACAUGUCCUGUAGUGGGGGAUAGCCCGGCGAAAGCCGGAUUAAUACCGCAUACGAUCUACGGAUGAAAGCGGGGGACCUUCGGGCCUCGCGCUAUAGGGUUGGCCGAUGGCUGAUUAGCUAGUUGGUGGGGUAAAGGCCUACCAAGGCGACGAUCAGUAGCUGGUCUGAGAGGACGACCAGCCACACUGGGACUGAGACACGGCCCAGACUCCUACGGGAGGCAGCAGUGGGGAAUUUUGGACAAUGGGCGAAAGCCUGAUCCAGCAAUGCCGCGUGUGUGAAGAAGGCCUUCGGGUUGUAAAGCACUUUUGUCCGGAAAGAAAUCCUUGGCCCUAAUACGGUCGGGGGAUGACGGUACCGGAAGAAUAAGCACCAGCUAACUACGUG
rnacentral:rRNA from 1 species